rnacentral:lncRNA from 1 species
UGCAUCAUAUGUGUGAGCAAUCACAGAAGACUCCUUCCUGUUGCCUUGUGAAGAAGGCUCCUGCUUCCCCUUCACCUUCUGCGCGAUUGUAAGUUUCCUGAGGCCUCCUAGCCAUGCUUCUUGUUCACUCUGCGGAACUGUCCUGAGCUGAAAAGAAUAUGAGAAAUCGGAUUUUACGACAUACCAAAUUAUGAUUGUAUGUCCCAGAAAUUCACUUAGAAGCUAAUAGAAAAAAUGAAACCAAAGCCUUUUGAGAGUUGAAAAUUUAUCAUGACAUAUGCUGGCUGCACAGUCAAAACUUAUCACUGCCCACGACUUCGGAAGCAUGACAGGAGAGCUGUGGGAGCCACUUCCUCGUCAGACGUGGUUUGAUAUGUCAAGUGAGAACCUGAGUAAAGCAAAGAGGUGAACUAUGACUUGGAAUCCUCCAGGCUUUGGCUUCCAUCACACUCCAUGAACUUGAUGCACAUAAUUUAAUGUAGGCCUCCACCCAAUAUCAUCAGUUCUCUUGCAUGUUGAACCCCCAGUUUCCUGGAUCUGACCAACAUGACCUUAAUGUUCCUAUCAGCUCGACUAAACUUUAAAGAGAUUUCUUCCUCAAUAUGGGCCUCUAACUUCCCUUUUCUUAGAGCAUUUACUUUAGAAAUUUUGCAAUUAUCAAUUUUUUCUCCCUAUUUUUGAGAUGUAAAUUUUCUACAACUCAGGAAUGUCUUUCUCAAGGACAUGAGAGAUAUCCCUUUGAAAUGUAAUUGUGAAAAAUGAUAGCACCUCUAUUUCAAUCUGUGUAGGAGAGUAGGAGCCUAACUCAGAAACUGCUGAUGCUGACCUGUGCCUCAAGAGGCUUGCCUGUUUGGGGGAGAAGCCUGAUGUGGAGACCAUUGGAAGAGGCUAAGGCAAGCUACCUGUUCCUUAAACAGAUUGUUCAACCUAUUCCAGUUUUUGGUCCUCUACCUCACACAUUCCUUCCACUUCCAAAUCCUGUUGUUAGAGGAUGUUACCUGCCAAAUUUGUACUUUGGAAUCCUCCUCUGCAUGUUCAUAAGUUUUUGGGUUUUCCUUUCUGCUCACUUGCCAAUCCUCUAUCUACUUUCAAUCUUCUAAAAAUUGCUGAAACUUCUUGUCUCACUGUUAAUUCUUUAACAUCAAUUUGUUGGUAUUUUAGGAUAAAAUAUAAGUAAGUGUAUAUCUUCAACCAGCUAUCAUUAAAUGGAAAAUUUCUGGUAUUAUUUUAUACUUUCAUCUAUUUUCCUGUAGACAUUUAAACAAGAAGUCUCUGUGUGUAUGUGCACAUAUUCAAUGUUUUAACUACAAAAUAUAAAUUUCUUCUUGUAAAACAGACAACAUAAGGGUUUUCUUGAAGUCCCCUUUUAAAUAUAACAGGAAUUCCUCAGUGUGAUCUGUGCCAUGUAUAUCAGCAGGUUAUUUAAUUCCUGUAUGCUUUGUAAUUUUCAGCUCAAAAUUAUGACUUUUGACACAAACCACAAGUCUCAAUGUCACAAAAUAAGGUAGAAAACCACAAACAAGCUGGGCAUGGUGGCUCAUGCCAUAUAAUCCCAGCACUUUGGGGGGGCCGAGGCAGGCGGAUCACAAGGUCAGGAGAUCAAGACCAUCCUGGCUAACAUGGUGAAACCCCGUCUCUACUAAAUA